rnacentral:SRP_RNA from 1 species
CCGUGCUAGACGGGGAGCUGGCGGUGCCCUGCACCCGCAAUCCGCCAUAGCGGGGUUGAAUCCCUCCCCGAGGUUUCGUCUCCCCGCCUCUACCCGGACCGGACGGUGUUGAGGGCUGGGACCCGCGCGACGGACGCCCGUGAACCCCGCCAGGCCCGGAAGGGAGCAACGGUAAGCGGAAACGCCGGGCGCCGCGGGACUCCCUGGCCGGAGCCGCCCACAUGGGCACGCGGAAGGGACUCGAUCGACGGGAGGUGCACGG